AGCGAACGCUGGCGGCAGGCCUAACACAUGCAAGUCGAGCGCCGUAGCAAUACGGAGCGGCAGACGGGAGAGUAACACGUGGGAACGUACCCUUCAGUUCGGAACAACCCAGGGAAACUUGGGCUAAUACCGGAUACGUCCGUAAGGAGAAAGAUUUAUCGCUGAAGGAUCGGCCCGCGUCUGAUUAGCUAGUUGGUGAGGUAACGGCUCACCAAGGCGACGAUCAGUAGCUGGUCUGAGAGGAUGAUCAGCCUCACUGGGACUGAGACACGGCCCAGACUCCUACGGGAGGCAGCAGUGGGGAAUAUUGGACAAUGGGCGCAAGCCUGAUCCAGCCAUGCCGCGUGGAUGAUGAAGGCCCUAGGGUUGUAAAGUCCUUUCGGCGGGGAAGAUAAUGACGGUACCCGCAGAAGAAGCCCCGGCUAACUUCGUGCCAGCCGCCGCCGUAA
rnacentral:rRNA from 1 species